AUCUUCUUCUGAAGCCAUGACAGCCACUUUUCCAGAAUUUUGAAGGGAAGACAAGAUUAUUUCAUUCUGCGCAACAGGAUACACUCACCAAUUAAAAGAUUUCACUUCCUUUUUUCAAUUGUUAUUUUCUGGUUAAAGAGAAGGAGCAGGUGCAGUAAGACCAACAAUUCAUUUGAUCAUUAUUGAGAUCACUUUAUGCCACAAUCAGCAAUAAUCUUAUAAGUUCACUAUAUAAUAUAAAAUUUUCCUAACAUACUAAAUGUGAAAAGACUGACAAAGAACUGAAGAGAAUAUAUCUCUCAAAACUAUUUGAUAUAAGGUUUAAUUUACAUAGUAAAUCAACUGGAUUAAUGAAUAAAAGAAAACUGCAUAAUUAAUAUGUUUUAUGGAUCAUUGAAUAUUUUGAUUUGUGUCUGGAGGCAUUGUGCCUAGUAUGUUAGUCUCUCAGAUGCACUUCUUCUUCUUCUUCCUGUUUCUUUCUAGUUCUCUCUUCUUGAUUUCUUUUCCAAAUCACAACCAACUCUUUCCCUUCUUGUUCAUUUUUUUAAUUCUAAAGCCUAAACUUCUUAAUUUUCCAGAAUACCCAUCACAAGCACAAAAUAAGUAUAGGCAACAGAAAAUCUAGCAAAAAAAUAGACCUUUACAUUUCAGGAAUUGCUUGUCGAGUUAAAUUUGCUGAAAAGAAAUUACAUACAAAAAAAAAUUAUGAUGCAUAAAGCCUAGACCAUUGGCCUCAAUUGUCAAAGUUCUCUUCAUCUACCAGGUGGAGGAUUGGGGUAGAGUCAUGGUGGGGACUAGUGAAGCCAUUAUCUAUUGCUUGGAAUAUAAAUAAAAGACAAAGUAAACAUCAUAAUAUUAUAUGACUUUGAGCUAUUGAAGCUAAGCAGCAUCUUGUCCAGCACCAGCACUAAAGCUCAAAACCUCAUGAAAUAAAAAAAAAAAAUUGUAAAUUGACAUCACCUUGUAUGUUCUUAUUGAAUUCCAUUCGCAAUCCAUAAACCAAAAUCAUGAAUAUCAUGAAGGCAAAAACUGAACAAUCUAAAAUAAUUAAUCACAAAGGUAAGGUUCAAUCAGUUGUAGAUAAUGGAAAAACCGAGACUAUAUCGAGAGGCUUUGAUGCAUCCCUAUCUGAGCCACUGCCAGCACCAGCAAUGUUACUUUGUUUACCGAGACUGGAAUUGAAAGGAGACGCCAAAAGAGCUGCAAUUCUCUUGGAAGCAUACUGUAUAUGACUAAACAAGACCACCAAAUCAUCCCCCACAUUAAUUCCUCCCUUGCCCACAUAUUCCACCAGCGUAGAAAACCCAUUAUCCACACCAGCAGAAGUAACCAUUUGCGAUUUUACACUAAACCCACCAAGAGAAGCCAUUCUAGGCCAGCAAAAGUAACAACUCCCCACAAGAACUGGAUUUUUUGCCGGGAAAAACUGGAGUUUUGUGUGGAAAGAGUGAGACUUUGGCGGGAAAAGUGAAGCUGGGUAUAUGGGUGUGACACACGAUUGCAUAUUAUAUAUAUUUUAGCUUGUUGGAGGAUUGAUUAGGAAGGAAAUAUUGAUAGCAUUGAAAAUAAUCAGAAGCUUUCAGAAAGAAAAGCAAGAGAGUAUCUUUUGGGUUGUGUGGAGAAGAUAGAUCAGAUUUCUUUGUUAGGAAACAUAAAUGAAACAGAUAAUGAACAAAAAUUUUGAAGGAAGAGAAAGGAGGUUGACUGGCUGAGGCUUUGAGCCAGUUUGAGAGAGGCCUGAAGCAGCAGAGAAGAGAGAACGUUCAAGGACAUGGGCCAAAUCCACUCUUGGACUGGGGUUUCUUAGAGAUAGAGAGGAUAGAAGAAACAUAAUGCACUCUGAAUAACAGAAGGACA
rnacentral:misc_RNA from 1 species